AGCAGCCGCGGUAAUUCCAGCUCCAAUAGCGUAUAUUAAAGUUGUUGCAGUUAAAAAGCUCGUAGUUGAAUUUCGGGACCAAUAUGUCGGUCGUGCUUCGGUACGUACUUGCAUUAUUGGUUUCUCCCUUCUGACGAACCAUGAUGUCAUUAAUUUGGUGUCUUGGGGAAUCAGGACUGUUACUUUGAAAAAAUUGAGUGUUUAAAGCAGGCUAACGCUUGAAUACAUUAGCAUGGAAUAAUGAAAUAGGACGAUCGAUCCUAUUUUGUUGGUUUCUAGGAUUGACGUAAUGAUUAAUAGGGAUAGUUGGGGGCAUUAGUAUUCAAUUGUCAGAGGUGAAAUUCUUGGAUUUAUUGAAGACUAACUACUGCGAAAAGCGUUUGCCAAGGAUGUUUUCAUUAAUCAAGAACGAAAGUUAGGGGGUACGAAGACGAUCAGAUACCGUCGUAGUCUUAACCAUAAACUAUAGCCGACUAGGGAUCGGAUGAUGUUAAUUUUUAUGACUUCAUUCGGCGCCUUA
rnacentral:rRNA from 1 species